rnacentral:rRNA from 1 species
AACGCGAAGAACCUUACCAGUCCUUGACAUGUCCACUAUGGGCCUGAGAGAUCAGGUCCUUCACUUCGGGUGGGUGGAACACAGGUGCUGCAUGGCUGUCGUCAGCUCGUGUCGUGAGAUGUUGGGUUAAGUCCCGCAACGAGCGCAACCCUCAUCUUCAGUUGCCCCCGGGUAAGGCCGGGCACUCUGAAGAAACCGCCGGUGACAAGCCGGAGGAAGGCGGGGAUGACGUCAAGUCCUCAUGGCCCUUACGGACUGGGCUACACACGUACUACAAUGGUGGUGACAGUGGGCAGCGAAAGCGCGAGCUGGAGCUAAUCCCCAAAAGCCAUCUCAGUUCAGAUUGCACUCUGCAACUCGAGUGCAUGAAGUUGGAAUCGCUAGUAAUCGCAGAUCAGCACGCUGCGGUGAAUACGUUCCCGGGCCUUGUACACACCGCAUAC